rnacentral:rRNA from 1 species
CCCUUAGAUGUUCUGGGCCGCACGCGUGCUACACUGAGUGGAUCAGCGGGUCAGGUUGCGCGAAAGCGUUUCCUAAUCUUUAAAUCCGCUCGUGAUGGGGAUUGACGGUUGCAAUUUUCUGUCAUGAACGAGGAAUACCUUGUAAGCGCGGGUCAUCAUCCCGCGCUGAAUACGUCCCUGCCCUUUGUACACACCGCCCGUCGCUCCUACCGAUUGAAUGGUCCGGUGAGGCCUCGGGAUUGUGGCCAGUUUCCUUCAUUGGGAGUUGGCUGCGAGAACUUGUCCAAACCUUAUCAUUUAGAGGAAGGUGAAGUCGUAACA